UACGGAGGGUGCGAGCGUUGUCCGGAAUCAUUGGGCGUAAAGGGCGCGUAGGUGGCCCGGUCAGUCCGUGGUGAAAGCGCGGGGCUCAACCCCGCGUCGGCCAUGGAUACUGCUGGGCUGGAGCACUGUAGAGGCAGGCGGAAUUCCGGGUGUAGCGGUGAAAUGCGCAGAUAUCGGGAGGAACACCAGUGGCGAAGGCGGCUCUCUGGGCAACGACUGACACUGAGACGCGAAAGCGUGGGUAGCAAACAGG
rnacentral:rRNA from 1 species